GCUUUCCUGUGGCUCAGUUGGUAGAGCAUUGCGCCAGCAAUGCAAAGAUCGUGGGUUCAAAUCCCAGGGAAAGCA